GCUCAUCCGAUCUCCGCGAUGUCGACGGACUGUACCGGUGAUCCUCGAACUCCUGGAUCAUCUCAGUCAGAAGGUCGACAGACACUUUGUCGUCCCCUACUACACACAUGAUUUGGAGUUUGUUGAUU